AUUGAACGCUGGCGGAAUGCUUUACACAUGCAAGUCGAGCGGCAGCGCGGGGCAACCUGGCGGCGAGCGGCGAACGGGUGAGUAAUGCAUCGGAACGUGUCCAUGUCGUGGGGGAUAGCCCGGCGAAAGCCGGAUUAAUACCGCAUACGCCCGAGAGGGGAAAGUGGGGGACCGCAAGGCCUCACGCGAUUGGGUCGGCCGAUGUCCGAUUAGCUAGUUGGCGGGGUAAAGGCCCACCAAGGCGAUGAUCGGUAGCUGGUCUGAGAGGAUGAUCAGCCACACUGGGACUGAGACACGGCCCAGACUCCUACGGGAGGCAGCAGUGGGGAAUUUUGGACAAUGGGGGCAACCCUGAUCCCGCCAUUCCGCGUGAGUGAAGAAGGCCUUCGGGUUGUAAAGCUCUUUUGUCCGGAACGAAACGGAUGACGUGAAUAUCGUCGUCUACUGACGGUACCGGAAGAAUAAGCACCGGCUAACUACGUGCCAGCCGCCGCCGUAA
rnacentral:rRNA from 1 species